UGUUCCGUUUCUUUCACGGAGGCUAGAUGACCAUCUAGCCUCCGUGGUUACUUUGAUAUGAAAAAUUGUUAUUUUUAUAGCUUGUUAAUUUAAUAAUAAUUAUAAUAAUAAUAAUAAUAGUAUUAAUAACAAUAAUUUUAUUUAUCACUAGGAAAGUGCUUAUGUACUCCUGAAAUUAACUAAUUUCUUUUUGGAAAUUCAGCUUUGCUUAUUGUUAAAGGCUGAUUAAUAAUAAAAAAGAGUAGGAAGCUCCGAGAUCUUGUUUUCAAGUGGAAUGGUAAUUUAGAUGCUAUCGAUGAAAAUAGUAGUGAUAGUCAAACCAAUUAUCUAAAUUAGUGGCAUUAAAUCUGUGUUCAAUAUUAUAUUUAUAAAAGUAAAGGUGGUUCUACGGAUUAUAGAGUGUCAAGCAUAAUCAUGCGUUAUAUUACUUAAAGGGCACGAAGACAUUCAUUACGAAGAAUUUUAUAUUUGAUACUUCUAUAUGUUGAUAUCAGAUUUUAUAAAACCGAUGCCGAUGAAAGUUAAGCAAAGCUGAUGAAUUUAUGAUAUUCAUGACAGCGGAUCAGCAAGAAGGAGUAAAACCACUUGUCAACCCUGAUGAUUAUUUUGAGUAUUUACUGUUUGCAGUAUCAGAAUUGUACAAAAAAGAUCCACUAAAAUUAAAUUUUGUUUUAGAGUACUAGUGUCGAAACGAUAACGUUACGCACGUAUCAUCGAAUGCCCACGUGGCAAGAUUAUCAGUUCGUCAAGGGACGUUGUUUAAAUUCGUACGACUAGCUAGUGAAAUAUUACCUGCAGGACUAUUUGUGCCAUACUUAAAAAUGAUAGCGUCAUUGGCAUCAUCACCACAAGCAGCAAGACAUGCUUUCAAUUUCUUGAAACCUAAUGGCUCCAGUGGAUCAACAAUACCAUGGGAUCAUUUUUUCAACUCUCUUGACAGAUAUUAUUACAACUUACGUCAAGAAUUGCCGCCAAGUUACGAUACAGUUAAUCAUCAGCACUGUCAUCUAAAAGGAAUCACGCCGCAUGAAGUUAAUGGUCCGGAAGCAGUACUGGAUGUAGUACAAGUUGUCGCUAAAUACGAUGAGAUGUCUCGCAUUGCCAUUUGUGAGCAUCCAGGUUGGAAAGUCAUACCAGCUCUGAUAGGUCUUGCACGCUGUGUAAUGCCUAUACGGCUCAAAAGAGUUCUAGUUCGUACAACAGCUGCUCUACCCAAAUCAUCCGAGAGCUCAAGUACUAUCUGGCAAAGUUUAAAAGUGGCACAAAUUUUGUGUACUAUUCCAACAACCAGCAGUUACUAAUCCCGAGGUAUCCAGACAGAGUUAGAAGAAACUGAAUCGCGUAAUGAAGAAUAUCCAUUAACUCGAUCAAUGUUUGAACUUUUUGAUGCUCUGGUAGACUCUGAUUCUAUGACUACUGGGUGUUGGUCAACGAAACCCAGGCUUUGAUCUUUAUCUCUAUUUUAUUAUUAAAACAGUAUUUCUUAGAUUUAAUAUCCGGUCGUACAAAGAUCCCAAGGAAAAGUGGCUAGUUGCUGAUACCUAUUUAAAGAUUUUCAAUAAAUUAAUCGCACAAUACGAGCCUAAUGUUGAAGAUUUCAUUGGUUAUCGUAUAGAAUUACAAGACGGUGAUUUUACUCUGGUAAAUCCUGAACCUGGAUAUCAUAUAAUGACUCAACUAUAUUCUAUUUCAGAAUUUCUACACGUGAUUCUCUACAUUCUUGACGAAGGUCGUCAUAAUUCAGAAACUUACGACUACUUGCUAAGUAAAGAUAGCUUGGAAAACAGUACAUUCUACUGUCUGAGAAUCCAUGAGCGUGGUCGAAUAAAAUUUUAACAGGUUUAUUUAAGCUUUCAUCAGGUGUAAAUCUAAGAACAGAAAAGCCAGACCACAUGAUCAACAUCGCAAUGUAUAUGACUUUUAACUUUUAAACUCGUGGGUACCCAAACACGCUUAUGUAUCUAUUGGAAUAAUUCAAGAUUCAAGCAAAUGAGCCUGGAGCAGACUCAGAAUUACUUUCUACAUUUACAUCGACAUCUCAGAUGUCUCUAACAAUCAGACAUGGUUUUGUUGAGUUUCUUGACUUGGAUCCAGUUGACGCUAAUCAAAAAUUGGAAGAAGAAAAAAAUCAGAAUAACUCUGCACCAAUCGCGACAAUGAGGUAAACUACUGGAAGAUACAAACUUCUUAUUGAAAGCAAGAUACAUACGAUAUUUAGAAGAAUUUGCGCUGGUCUAUGUUACGCGAGUGAAUCUGAUGUUGGAUACAUUAUGUCAUUGGUUUAUCAGAUGGCUUACUCUGAUAAUAAUGCCACUAAUAUGAGCUUAAAAAUUACUUCUUUCAAUGUUACAUUUGCUACUACUCCAGGAAAAUUAAACUGGGAUGAUAAAAUUCAAGGAAUAACACUGGGUUCAUUAAUCUUCAGCUAUCUAUUCAGAAAUGUUAUAAAUAGGCGAAUGAUUGGUGGUAUAUUAAUGAAUGUUCCCGGUGUAUUUUUACAACUUUAUUAACUGUAGUAAGUUCAUUUAUUGAGGUAUUUUUUGUAUUUAGUAAAAAUCCAAUUUUUUUUAACGAACGCUAUAAAUAAAGCGUUAAAUAACAAAGUGAGAAUAAAUAUGUAAACCGAGAUAAAGGUACCGAAGUUGUAGCCCAUGACUUAUUAAAAGGUUUAACGUUGUCAGUUUACUUGUUAUAUCGACUUGGUCGUCGUAACAUUCGUAUUCUUGAUUAUGACGUUAAUGACUUUUAUAAUUAUGCUCAUAAAUUUUUUAUGAAUUAUAAUAAUAAUUUAUUUAUUCAAAUUAAUUGAACUGUAAAAAUUUAAUUGUUUAUAUUUAUUUAAAUUACUUUGGUUUGCCGCCAAAUUUUUUGUGCUCUGCGCAUCUCGAUGUACCAUUUUUAAAACAAUUGAAUAGCGUAUUUAUAAUAAAUGCUUAAUUGGGUAUCGAAUAUUGUCGUUAUUAAUGUAGUUUAAGUUAAUUGUAACUCAAAAACAAUUGACAUUAAUAUUUCACUGUUAUUUUAUGUCUUAGUUUGAUAAAAACUAUAUUUUGUUAACUUGAUUAUAGUGGAAUGCAAUAAAGAUAAAAUAUUAACCAUUUUAGAU